rnacentral:tRNA from 1 species
GAGGGUAAAGCUCAGUUGUAGAGCGCGUGCUUAGCAUACACAAGGUACCGGGUUCAACCCCUAGUACCUCCA